AGAAAAUAGAUACCCAGGUAGUCCACGCCGUAAACGAUGAUCACUCGCUGUUAGCGAUACACAGUUAGCGGCUAAAGCAAAAGCAUUAAGUGAUCCACCUGGGGAGUACGGCCGCAAGGCCGAAACUCAAAGGAAUUGACGGGGGCCCGGCACAAGCGGAGGAACAUGUGGUUUAAUUCGAUGAUACGCGAGGAACCUUACCUGGGCUUAAAUGUAGAGUGCAUUCCCGAGAAAUCGGGAUUUCCUUCGGGACUUUCUGCAAGGUGCUGCAUGGUUGUCGUCAGCUCGUGCCGUGAGGUGUCGGGUUAAGUCCCAUAACGAGCGCAACCCUUAUCGUUAGUUGCCAGCGGGUAAUGCCGGGAACUCUAACG
rnacentral:rRNA from 1 species